AGAGUUUGACUCCUGGCUCAGGACGAACGCUGGCGGCGUGCUUAACACAUGCAAGUCGAACGAGAUCCAGCCGAGCCUUCGGGCAAAGCGAAGAUCUAGUGGCGAACGGGUGCGUAACACGUGAGGAACCUGCCCCGGACUUGGGAAUAACAGUCGGAAACGGCUGCUAAUACCGAAUACCUUCGUAGCGUCGCAUGGCGCAUCGAAGAAAGCUUUUGCGGUUUGGGAGGGCCUCGCGGCCUAUCAGCUAGUUGGCGAGGUAACGGCUCACCAAGGCAUCGACGGGUAGCUGGUCUGAGAGGAUGAUCAGCCACACUGGGACUGAGACACGGCCCAGACUCCUACGGGAGGCAGCAGUGGGGAAUAUUGCACAAUGGGCGAAAGCCUGAUGCAGCAACGCCGCGUGCGGGAAGAAGGCCUUAGGGUUGUAAACCGCUUUCAGCAGGGAAGAAAAUGACGGUACCUGCAGAAGAAGGUGCGGCCAACUACGUG
rnacentral:rRNA from 1 species